UACAGAGGGUGCGAGCGUUACUCGGAAUUACUGGGCGUAAAGAGCUCGUAGGUGGUUUGUCGCGUUGUUCGUGAAAACCGGGGGCUUAACCCUCGGCGUGCGGGCGAUACGGGCAGACUUGAGUACUGCAGGGGAGACUGGAAUUCCUGGUGUAGCGGUGGAAUGCGCAGAUAUCAGGAGGAACACCAAUAGCGAAGGCAGCUCGCUGGGACGGUAUUGACGCUGAGGCGCGAAAGCGUGGGGAGCAAACAGG
rnacentral:rRNA from 1 species